UCCGCUACAGAAGUUCGAUCAGAGUCUGGUUCCCGUAGAAGUCCGGAUGGGGAUCAUUUGUAGAGGAAGCUCGACCGAAGCCUGCCUGCAAUAGAAGUUCGGAGGAAAUUCGUUCACAAUAGAAGCUCGGGUGGAGGCUUACAGUAGAAAUCUGUCGUGGACCGCCCGUAGUAGAAAUUCGAAGUAGACCGCUUGUUGUGGUAGCUCGGAGUAGACCGCUUGUGGUGUGGGCUCGGAGUCUGACCCUUGUCAGAAUUCGGAUGAGGCC
rnacentral:lncRNA from 1 species